rnacentral:rRNA from 1 species
GAUGAACGCUAGCUACAGGCUUAACACAUGCAAGUCGAGGGGCAGCAUGUCGGUUGCUUGCAACCGACGAUGGCGACCGGCGCACGGGUGAGUAACGCGUAUCCAACCUACCCUUGUCCAUCGGAUAACCCGUCGAAAGGCGGCCUAACACGAUAUGCGGUUCACAGCAGGCAUCUAACGUGAACGAAAUGUGAAGGAGAAGGAUGGGGAUGCGUCUGAUUAGCUUGUUGGCGGGGUAACGGCCCACCAAGGCAACGAUCAGUAGGGGUUCUGAGAGGAAGGUCCCCCACAUUGGAACUGAGACACGGUCCAAACUCCUACGGGAGGCAGCAGUGAGGAAUAUUGGUCAAUGGGCGAGAGCCUGAACCAGCCAAGUAGCGUGCAGGACGACGGCCCUAUGGGUUGUAAACUGCUUUUAUAAGGGAAUAAAGUGAGUCUCGUGAGACUUUUUGUAUGUACCUUAUGAAUAAGGACCGGCUAAUUCCGUG